rnacentral:rRNA from 1 species
GCAAACCUACGGACGCAGCAGGGAAUAUUGCGCAAUGGGGGAAACCCUGACGCAGCAACGCCGCGUGCGGGAUGACGGCCUUCGGGUUGUAAACCGCUUUCAGCAGGGAAGAACAUCGACGGUACCUGCAGAAGAAGCCCCGGCUAACUACGUGCCAGCAGCCGCGGUAAUACGUAGGGGGCGAGCGUUAUCCGGAUUCAUUGGGCGUAAAGCGCGCGUAGGCGGGUGCCUAAGCGGGACCUCUAACCUCGGGGCUCAACCCCGAGCCGGGUCCCGAACUGGGCGUCUCGAG